rnacentral:rRNA from 1 species
UACGUAGGGGGCAAGCGUUGUUCGGAAUUACUGGGCGUAAAGCGCGCGUAGGUGGUCUGGCAAGUCAGGUGUGAAAGCCCCGGGCUCAACUUGGGAACUGCAUUUGAUACUGCCAAACUAGAGUACGGAAGAGGUGACUGGAAUUCCCAGUGUAGCGGUGAAAUGCGUAGAUAUCAAGAGGAACACCUGCGGCGAAGGCGGGUUGCUGGGCCGACACUGACGCUGAAGUGCGAAAGCUAGGGGAGCGAACGGG